CCUACGGGUGGCAGCAGUGAGGAAUAUUGGUCAAUGGGCGCUAGCCUGAACCAGCCAAGUAGCGUGAAGGAUGACUGCCCUAUGGGUUGUAAACUUCUUUUAUAAGGGAAUAAAGUGCAGUAUGUAUCCUCCUUUGCAUGUACCUUAUGAAUAAGGAUCGGCUAACUCCGUGCCAGCAGCCGCGGUAAUACGGAGGAUCCGAGCGUUAUCCGGCUUUAUUGGGUUUAAAGGGAGCGCAGGCGGGUUGUUAAGUCAGUUGUGAAAGGUUGCGGCUCAACCGGAACAUUGCAGUUGAAACUGGCAGCCUUGAGUACAGUAGAGGUAGGCGGAAUUCGUGGUGUAGCGGUGAAAUGCUUAGAUAUCACGAAGAACUCCGAUUGCGAAGGCAGCCUGCUGGACUGUAACUGACGCUGAUGCACGAAAGUGUGGGUAUCGAACAGGAUUAGAUACCCCAGUAGUC
rnacentral:rRNA from 1 species